rnacentral:rRNA from 1 species
AACGAACGCUGGCGGCAUGCCUAACACAUGCAAGUCGAACGAGACCGUCGGGUCUUGGUGCGCACGGGUGCGGAACGCGGGGGGAGCUGCCCUUAGGUUCCGUAUAACUCCCCGAAGGGUGAGCUAAUACCGGAGAAGGUCUUCGGAGCAAAGAUUUAGUGCCUUUGGAUGGGGCCGGGUUGGCUUAGAUGGUUGGUAGGGGAAAAGCAAACCAAGGCCACGAUGCAGAGCUGGUCUGGGAGGAUGCCACGGCACACUGGGGAUGAGGCCCGGCCCAGACUCCUACGGGAGGCAGCAGUGGGGAAUAUUGGAGGAUGGGCGAAAGCGUGAUCAAGCCAUGCCGCGUGAGUGAUGCAGGCCUUAGGGUUGUAAAGCUCUUUUACCCGGGAUGAUAAUGACAGUACCGGGUGAAUAAGCUCCGGCUAACUACGUG